GGUUGUUUCGAUUUGAUCGGGAUACUCAUCAAAUAAUUCUGAAAACCGAGAUGUCUCCUUUUGUUAAUGGCGGGCCACAUAAAUUCCGAUGGAACUAAGCAGAAAUGCCGGUGGAUUACAAAGGCGGAGGGCUCUCAAAUCAUACAUGAUUAGGAGUUUUCAUCACAUCGUCGGGCAGCCCCUUUU
rfam:Prevotella oralis ATCC 33269 genomic scaffold SCAFFOLD4, whole genome shotgun sequence.